ensembl:lncRNA
UGGUCGGGCACAGGGGCGAACAGAGGGGAUUGGGUACCCGAGAUGUGAGCGCCGGGAGAUGGGCUCGAGAAUGCUGGGCAUGCGGUGGACCUGGAAACAAAGGAUAUGAUGCAGAAGCCCCCGGAGUGGGAACGAAUAUGGGCACAGUUACGGACAUAGCGGUAUGGGAGGUGUGGCAGCCGGGCAGGCUUGGGGCAUAAGCAUAGCACUUGGGCACUUGUCAUAAGGCAUUAAGCAUAGGCGGGCACUGGGAGCACUGACCACCAGAUAGGCAUAGGUGAGUGGCAGUGAGCACAGGGGCAUGAGUCAGGGAACAUGAAAACUAAAAGUGGGAGCAGAUGUGGGACAUGAGGCAGGUGCCAGGAUGCAGAAGUGGGCCUAGGGCAACGGCACGCAGUGGGGAUGUGGCCUUACCGGACGUGGGCAUGGGAUGUGAGCACAAGGUGGGCACGGAUGGAACGCCCCAUCCUGGCCCAGACCCCACAGUCUCCGUGUCCGUAGAACUGCGCGCCCACCUGCAGGAUGGCCGCCCGGAGCCUGAGUACCAGAUCCGGCUGUGCUUUGGCGAGGAGUACCCGGGGCCCCCGGACCAGCCCGAGGAGCGUCUCAUUAUGGCCCAUGUGGAGCCGGUCUUCGCCGGCGAGCUCCUCCUACACUCAAAACGCCAAGGCCAGGUCCCCAGCCUUGAACCCCCGAGAGCGUCACUCACCUGAUGACACAGCUGAGCCAGCCUUCGGUGGCUGCUUCCACCUCCCGUACCCUCUAAAGCAGCCCCCCGGCCCCAGGGCGCAGAUCCCACCCAGCCCUGCCGCCAGCUGAGCCAGGGGACUUGCGGUUUCGCCCCAUCCAUCGCCCAGGUAGGAUGAGACAGAGGAAGCCAACCCCGGCCUUCAAUCCCUCAGCCUCUCAGCGCGGAGAGGCGGGGAAUCCUGAAAGAAGGUGCGUGGGCGGACAGCUGCGCAGCUGAGCGGGGGGCAUCAGGCCUGAAAACCAAACUUGAUCUUGAGGUUUCAGAAACAGCAAUUAAGACAGAAACAAGGCUUUUAUUUUUUAAAGAAACCAGCCUUUUUUGUUGGGAGCCCAGCAUGCCUCUAGUGACUUACCUAAGGCAGACCUCACCUGUGAUUGAUAUGGUUUGCUUAAAGCUGAGUUUACCAAUAAUUAGAUCCUCAAGAUGGUUUAGACUGGGGUCAGCCAGUAAGAGGAACCCCUGACCUCUGAGGGGUUCUGAGUUUCCAGACCCUCCUUCCACCUGUCACCAGUCUCUCUUCUUCCGGGAUGCGUGGGGAGUCGUGAGGAAAGUGCAAAACGGUGGACUUGGUCUCCAAAGAUUCUGUCUUUGGAGAAGCUGAGGCAGGCCCCCAAACACAGCCCCAGGACAGAAGCCAAAGUGGGAGCCAGAAGUCCAGCCCCUCCCCAAGCGCCAUCAAUCUUUGCAAACUCCAAGUUGUAAGGAGUCCUUGAGAACUGGGAGGGAACCCCUCGCCCAAGAAGGCAGUGACCCUGCCUUGUCGGUAAAGUUACUGUUUUCCACCCCAGAUAUCAGACCUUUCACCUUUUCUGAUUUCUGACCUCACUUAUAAGAAUUCUCUUACAGAUGGCAACAUAAAAAAAUCGCUUUUAGUGAUACAAUAAGCCAUUUUUAUGGAGGGAAACCUCUAUGAUUCAACAAAGGAGAGAAGUCAAUCAAACCACUAUUUUUAAAAUUUUAUUUAUUUAUUGGAGUUCCCAUCAUGGCUCAGUGGUUAACAAACCCAACUGGCAUCCAUGAGGACGCGGGUUCGAUCCCUGGCCUCGCUCAGUGGGUUAAAGAUCCGGCGUUGCCGUGAACUGCGGUGUAGGUCGCAGACGUGGCUCAGAUCUGGCAUAGUUGUGGCUGUAGGCGUAGGCCAGCGGCUACAGCUCCAAUUCGACCCCUGGCCUGGGAACUUCCUUAUGCCGUGGGUGCGGCCCUAAAAAGACAAAAAGACAAAAAAAAUAAAAUUUAUUUAUUUAUUUUGCUUUUUAGGGCCACACCUGUGGCAUAUGGCGGUUCCCAGGCUAGGGGUCAAAUCAGCAACGCCGGAUCAUUAACCCACUGAGCAUGGGGCUGUCCUCUACCCCUGCCCCUCAUAGAGGAAUGGGGUUAAGGAGUUAUAGAAUUCUGGUUGAAAUCACAGCUUUGUCACUCACUUGCUGUGCCAUCUCAGGCAAGUCACUUAACUUCUCUGAGCCUCAGAUUCCUGAUCUACUCACAAGAAGUUAUCAAGAUCUCUGGAGCAGAGUUAAUCGGAGAAGUAAAUGCCCAGAGGGGAGGGAAGGGCUCAUGGACAGUGACACACGGUAGGUGUCCACUAACUUGUGUAAGUCGCAGAUGCUGUUUGGAUCCCGUUUGGCUGUGGCUGUGGUGUAGGCUGGCAGCAAUAGCUCCGAUUUGACCCCUAGCCUGCGAACUUCCACAUGCCGAAGGCGCGGCCCUAAAAAGCAAAAAAAAAAAAUAAAGAUGGGAAACUGAGCCUCAGCCAGGGACUUGGUUGAGAGCCUCUUGGGAGGGUGGCUGUCUCUGACCAGGUGUCUGUCCUCCCCACACUCGUCACGAGAGGGCGCCAGGGCUCAACGAACGGGGUUGGGCCCGCCCUCAUCACUACCCUAGGCACCCCACCCACUGUGGACCCCUCCAGGAGAGCAGGGAACAGUGUGACCCCAGAGUGCUCUGCCCUCCUGUGGGGGGAGAAAGUCGAGCAUGGGCCUGGAGGAGGAGAAAGGGGGAACUAGAAGUGGGGAUUCAAGGGGCCCCUGAGGCUUUUCUCACAGAAACUCCCAGUUCUCCGGCUCAGACACGGAUUCUACCUCUGCUCUCUCGUGAGCAUGCAUGUGUGUGUGUGUGUGUGUGUCUAACGCCCUCUUUCUAUCUCUGCAUAUUUCUUUAUUUGUCUCACUCAAUGAUUCUAACUUUUUCUGUACUGUAUCUCUGUGUGUGUCUAAUGCCCUCUUUCUAUCUCCACAUGUUUCUUCAUUUCUCUCAUUCAGGGAGUCUCACUUUCUGUGUUGAGUCUGUGUGUCUCCCUUUCUUCUGUCUCCGUCUAAUCAUCAUCUCACUUUCUGUCUCUGCCUCUAUGUUCUCUGUGUUCCUGUCUCUCUCUUAGUGUGUCUGCCUCUCUUUGUCUCUGUCCCUCGGUCGUUUUUCACUCUCUCUGUCUCCUUCCCUCUCUCCGCCUUUAUCUCUUUUUCUUUCUGCCUCCCUGUUUCACGUCCUGGCCCUCCUCACCACCACCAGCACGUGUGGGCUGAGGGUCUCAGGCCCUUCCCUCCCAUCUCCUCACCCCUGGCAGCUGCUCACAGCUUCCCAAUCCUGGCCUCUCCUGCCCGCCCCUCUUGGGCCUUGGGGGAGGGGGGCGAGGGAGGAAGGGAGGGCAGCCUGGUGGGCCCACCCCUUUUUGCCUUUCCAGGCUGGGAGGCUGGGCCAGUGGGCCUUUUAACCAGCCUGGGCAGGCUGGGCCGGACACCAGCCCUGGACACGGUGCCUGGCCUCCGCGGUUCCGGC